CUUGGUCAUUUAGAGGAAGUAAAGUCGUAACAAGGUUUCCGUAGGUGAACCUGCGGAAGGAUCAUUAUUGAUUUUAAAGAUGUGCUGGCACUCCUUCACCGGUUUGCAUGUGCACUCUGCAAAUCUCCUUCUCUUACCCCACUGUGCACACCCAAGUAGACAAACAGAGUACAGAGCAAUCUGUGUAAUUCCUGAUUUGCCUAUGUUUUUAUCAAACACAAUAACAAUAUCAGAAUGAUCUAUAUAGUAAGCUCUUAACAAGCUGAAUUUAAUACAACUUUCAACAAUGGAUCUCUUGGUUCUCGCAUCGAUGAAGACGCAGCGAAUUGCGAUAUGUAAUGUGAAUUGCAGAAUUCAGUGAAUCACGAAUCUUUGAACGCACCUUGCACCCUCUGGCAUUCCGGAGGGUAUGCCGUUUGAGUGUCAUUAAUCUCUCAACACAAGAAACUUUGUCUUCUUGUGCUGGAUAUUGAAGGUUUUGCUGGCGCAAACAACUGUCAGCUCCUUUUAAAGUAUUAGCAGAGCAGUAUGGGACUGGCCUCGGUUUGAUAAGAAACUUUACUAUGCUGUCGCUGGGUUUUCCUCUUUGUGCUCAGCUUCAAAUUGUCUUGGACUGUCUCUUGAGGCAACAAAAUUUCUAUUGAUCGACCUCAAAUCAGUAGGACUACCCGCUGAACUUAAGCAUAUCAAUAAGCGGAGGAAAGGGUG
rnacentral:rRNA from 1 species